rnacentral:rRNA from 1 species
CAAUAGCGUAUAUUAAAGUUGUUGCGGUUAAAAAGCUCGUAGUUGGAUUUCUGUCGAAAAUGGGCGGUCCUCACUACGUGGGUGUAUUGUUUCAGUUUCGGCAUCCUCAUGGGGAACGUUGCUGCGCUUGAUUGCGUGGCGCGGUAUCCAUGACUUUUACUUUGAGGAAAUUAGAGUGUUCACGGCAGGCAAUCGCCUUGAAUAUAUUAGCAUGGAAUAAUAAUAUAGGAUCUUGGUCCUAUUUUGUUGGUUUCUAGAGCUAAGAUAAUGAUUAAUAGGGAUAAUUGGGGGUCUUUGUAUCAUGGCGUCAGAGGUGGAAUUCUUGGAUUGCCAUGCGACAAACUACUGCGAAAGCAUUGACCAAGGAUGUUUUCAUUGA